CCCUACGGGGUGCUCCUUGGAUAGGGGUUGUUCCUAGAAGCACAGUAAACAUUAUGUGUUUUAAAGUCUAGGUAUUAUCCGUUCGUAGUAUAGUGGAGAAUAUUAUAGAUUUUCCGUGACCGAUCCUCUCUACCGGGAUUAUUAUCUCAAGGGAAGUGACGGCGUAUAUCCCAUUCAAGAAGCCCUGCUUUGCGUUAGCUUGGGAUUGGUGCAUAGUGAUGGAUUUGCAUAUAAGCUGGUAGCGGCAAUCAUCACCCCUGAAGGACUCGAGUAGGUGCCAUGUCCGAGACAGUUUACACCAUAGGUUAUUCCACGCACUCCACCGAUGAGGUGUUGAAGCUCUUUAGACGGCACGGCAUCACGGCGGUGGCAGAUGUGAGGUCCCAGCCAUAUAGCCGGGUCAACCGGCAGUUUAAUCGUGAGCCCCUCAGGCAAACCCUUACGACCGAGGGCAUUGCUUAUGUUUUCCUCGGGAAGGAAUUGGCGGGGGGGC
rnacentral:rRNA from 1 species